rnacentral:rRNA from 1 species
AUACGUAGGGAGCAAGCGUUGUCCGGAUUUACUGGGUGUAAAGGGCGCGUAGGCGGAUUUGUUAGUCAGAGGUGAAAUCCUGCGGCUUAACCGUAGAACUGCCUUUGAUACUGCAAGUCUUGAGUUCGGAAGAGAGAGAUGGAAUUCCAGGUGUAGUGGUGAAAUACGUAGAUAUCUGGAAGAACACCAGUGGCGAAGGCGGUCUCUUGGUCCGUAACUGACGCUGAGGCGCGAAAGCGUGGGGAGCAAACAGGAUUAGAAACCCUAGUAGUCC